AGACCGAUAGCGAACAAGUAGAGUGAUCGAAAGAUGAAAAGCACUUUGGAAAGAGAGUCAAACAGCACGUGAAAUUGUUGAAAGGGAAGCGCUUGCAGCCAGACUUGCCUGUAGUUGCUCAUCCGGGCUUUUGCCCGGUGCACUCUUCUAUAGGCAGGCCAGCAUCAGUUUGGGCGGUUGGAUAAAGGUCUCUGUCAUGUACCUCUCUUCGGGGAGAACUUAUAGGGGAGACGACAUGCAACCAGCCUGGACUGAGGUCCGCGCAUCUGCUAGGAUGCUGGCGUAAUGGCUGUAAGCGGCCCGUCUUGAAACACGGACCAAG
rnacentral:rRNA from 1 species